rnacentral:piRNA from 1 species
UAGUACUUACAGAAGUUAAAAAGGAAAC